rnacentral:lncRNA from 1 species
GCUACACAAAAUGCACAUGGAACAGGAAUUUCUAAGAAGAAUGCACUCCUUGACCCAAAUACAACUCUGGACCAGGAAGAAGUCCAACAGCACAAAGAUGGGAAACCUCCAUACAGUUAUGCCAGCCUCAUUACAUUUGCAAUUAAUAGCUCACCCAAAAAGAAAAUGACUUUAAGUGAAAUUUAUCAGUGGAUUUGUGAUAACUUCCCAUAUUAUAGAGAGGCUGGCAGUGGUUGGAAGAAUUCCAUACGACAUAAUCUGUCAUUGAACAAAUGUUUCCUUAAAGUGCCUCGAUCUAAGGAUGACCCUGGAAAGGUAGGAUUCAUCUUCUUAAAACAGUUGAAUUCUUCAGUAUGUCACUUGUCAUGUUUGAAUUAAGAACUUUUCCAGUUCAUUGAAUAGGAACCUCUGCAAAAUAGUAAGUCCUCCCCCACCCUGCUCUAAAGCUUGUUAGAGAGUUUUAAGCUGUGGGAACCUAACUAGUGUAUAGCUGUUGCAC